GAACCUAUAGCUCAGCCUGGUUAGAGCGCUGGUCUUAUAAGCCAGAGGUCCACAGUUCAAAUCUGUGUAGGUUCA
rnacentral:tRNA from 1 species